ACCCUGGACAAGCUGUUCUUGGAGUCUCCGCCAGGCUUUUCCUAUGUAGCUGGAGUUGCAUUGCCUGUGUUCUGUGAUCCACUGGUGACACCUCUAACCUUGCGUGUGGAGAGUCUUGAUGGGGCUCCACGGGCCUUACCCCUUCGGCCAGUCUUAAACGGGUAUCAGCAAGAAGAAAAAUUAACAAAAGACAGAAGGCUUGACUUUGGGGGGGAAGAGCAAGGGGUUCCUCUGGAUUGCAGACCACAUCGCAUGGACCCCUGGCUCUGACCCCCAUCCUGGAAGAAGAGGAAGAAGCAGAACAGACUAGUUUUGAGUAAACUCAGUAUGCAUGUGUGGAUGCUGAACCCAGGAAUGGUGUUGAGGCUACCAAGAAGAAAUCCAUGCAGCCACUUUGGGUUUUGUUUAUUAGGUGUCAGUCUCUAACAAGUGGUUAGGUCACUCGGGAAGGAAAAAAAGUUUUAAAUGGGGGAAAAAAAAGCCAUCUUUUUAAGCAAAAAUUAUUUUGCCUACAGACAGGUUGUAGUUUUGAGCACAUGUUAAUUUUUUCCCCUCUUUCCCCACCUUUAUUUUUUUAGAUAAGGAAUAACAUACUCUUUAUAGAAUAGCUGCUUGCUCUGGAAGCAAUUCAGGUUAAAAGCUGGCGGGGCAUGUUUGGGGACUCUGCGGGUCAGUGCCAUUGGAGGACAUCUGCCGUCCCACAGGACUCCACAAGUCUCUGACCCCAUUUGUUUUUAAUGGCAUCAGCCAAUGAAUUAUCACCCUUUUCCUCUUCUUUUCUCUUUAAUCUUCUGUUGAUUUACACCUUUGGCAUUUGUAUUCGUCAGCCCUGUGGCUCGUUACCAUCAGAACCUCCCUGAAGACCAAACUUCCCUGUGUGGCCUGCAGAGGAAGCCGUUAGGACAGCUCUCGGGUGACGUGGGAGUUUCUGGGGCCGAGAGGUGUCCUUCUCCACACUCUUGUAACAGUUCAAAUUGCUCUCCUCCCAUGUUUCUCUUGGCAGAGAGAAAUGCCAUCGUGCUUACUGCUGUCUUGGAUUCUUUGUCUCCCCAUUCACUGGGAAGAGAGCCUCCGUGCUGCAUGUAUGCGUGUGUGCGUACACACGGGUGUUGAUGCAGCUCACCAGCAAAUGUGCAGCAAGCGAGUGUAAAGAUGUCCAUGCUUCCCUAUUGUCACACAGCUCCCUUCCCUGUGUUUCCUUCCACUUGUCCUUUGUGGUGUUAGUGGAGGCUGAGCUGUUAAAGUGUGAAAAUGGAGCCCCAGAUGGGGAACUUGCCAUGGGGAAGGGCCACAGUUAGCAACUCUGUGAUCUUGGAGGCCAUGUUUUGAUGGAAAUGAAAGGACUCCUGCCCUGAGCAGGAGGUGUAGUUGUUGGGAGGUGGGGGCAAGGAGCAGCCCAGCCAGAGCACAAGCUGAUUGGCUGGCUGCGCACUUGGACAGGUUGCCCCCUCUGGGAUCCUGUGGAUUCUGAGCAGGUGAGAUGUGGGUUUCUCCAUGGGAAGCUAAAACCAGGCUAGAACAGCUGUCUGCCAAAGAUAUGAGAUUAUGCAAAGUCCCUCUUCUCACCCCCUCCUUCUCUGAGUCUUGGUUGGUUUAAUAGCCAGGGAUAUGGUGCAGGGUCCCUGCCUGUUUCCAGCCCACCCCCGAGCCCUGGGGGUAUGAGACAAGCAGGGAGACCAGGUCCGCAAGCGGCUGCAAGGGGUCAUAUAGCCUGGGUGUGGGUGAGGGUCUGCCUGCCUGUGUCUGGGUGUCUGAGUUCCAAAAGUGUGUUGUUUGUUCCUCCUCAUCCUCUUCUGAGACUGUGGUUUUUAUUUUUUAAGCUUGAUUGUGAGAGAAAAGCUUGUACGAAAUUCCCCAUUUGCCUCCCCACCUCCCCAGAAAUAAAAGGGGAGUAAACAUUGGUCCUGGGGAGGGUGCAGCCAGCCUGCUGAGAGGGCAG
rnacentral:lncRNA from 1 species